rnacentral:rRNA from 1 species
GAUGAACGCUAGCUACAGGCUUAACACAUGCAAGUCGUGGGGAAACGAUAGAGAAAGCUUGCUUUUUCUAGGCGUCGACCGGCGCACGGGUGAGUAACGCGUAUCCCACCUGCCCAUCACUUGGGGAUAACCUCGCGAAAGUAAGACUAAUACCCAAUGACGUCUCUAGAAGACAUCUGAAAGCGAUUAAAGUUUUACCGGUGAUGGAUGGGGAUGCGUCUGAUGAGCUUGUUGGCGGGGUAACGGCCAACCAAGGCGGCGAUCAGUAGGGGUUCUGAGAGGAAGGUCCCCCACAUUGGAACUGAGACACGGACCAAACUCCUACGGGAGGCAGCAGUGAGGAAUAUUGGUCAAUGGGCGAGAGCCUGAACCAGCCAAGUAGCGUGCAGGAUGACGGCCCUAUGGGUCGUAAACUGCUUUUAUAAGGGAAUAAAGUGAGUCUCGUGAGACUUUUUGCAUGUACCUUAUGAAUAAGGACCGGCUAAUUCCGUGCCAGCCGCCGCCGUAA